CUAGGAUUAGAUACCCUAUUAUUUUAAUUGUAAAUUUUUUUAAUAUUAAUAGUUAUGUUCUUUAAAUUAAA
rnacentral:tRNA from 1 species